rnacentral:rRNA from 1 species
CGCCUGUUUAUCAAAAACAUGUCUUUUUGUUUAUAUUUAAAGUCUGACCUGCUCAAUGAAUUAUUUAAAUAGCCGCAGUAUAUUGACUGUGCGAAGGUAGCAUAAUAAUUAGUCUUUUAAUUGAGGUCUUGAAUGAAUGGUUAAACGAAGAAUAAACUUUAUUUAAUUAAUUUUUUUUAAUUUUUGUUUUUGGUUAAAAUACCAGAAUAUUUAAAAGGGACGAUAAGACCCUAUAGAUCUUAAAAAUAUUUUUUUAUUUUUUUUUUUUGUUGUUUUUUAAAAAAUUUAUCUUUUAUUUUUUUGUUGGGGUGAUAAAUAAAAUUUUUGACCUUUAUUUUUUUUUUACAUUUAUUUUUGGUUUUAUUGAUCCUUUAUUUUGGAUUAUAAGAUAAAGAUACCUUAGGGAUAACAGCAUAAUAUAGUUGGAGAGUUCAAAUCGAUAAUUAUGUUUGUGACCUCGAUGUUGGAUUAAGA